rfam:Cricetulus griseus cell line CHO-K1, whole genome shotgun sequence.
GGAGAGAUGGCUCGGUAGUUAAGAGUAUUGGCUGUUCUUCCAAAGGACCUGGGUUCAAUUCCCAGUUCCUACA